CACUUUCAAGGAUUUUGUUCAAUAUUGUUCAAAUAACUAAUGGAAGUACAGACCUAACACCUGGACCCUGCUGUGUCUGCCCCUGGCUAUGUCUUCAAGGAAGUGCAAGGCUCAUUAGCUUGUUUUCCAACCUCAGAUGUGCUCAAUAUGCUCCCACACCAUGUCACCAUCCAGCACUGAGCCUGUCCAGUCAGCAAGACAUCCUACUCCUACAGUGUGCUCUACUUAAUCCAAGCAAUCAAUACUGACAACGCUGAGAAUCAGGAAAGAAAUGUCAGCAGGGAGGCCUUACCACGGGGCAGGAGAACUUCUCGCUGUCGCAGAUGUGCGUCUCGCAAUGCAGCCAGACCUUGGACAGCUUGGGGAUGUUGCGGAAGCGGAAGGCGUUGAACUGGAACGUGGCCCGGUUCGUUUUGCCGUUCUCGUGCACUAGGAUGGAGUAGUCCGUGGCACACCUGUGUUGUGUGGGGAGAAGCAGUGUCAGAGCCCCGUGGCUUCAGUGAGACAUCUCCUGAGGUGACAUCUGAUGAAAGCAUUUGCCCUGCUGUGGGCCAGCUUUUCCUUUG